rnacentral:rRNA from 1 species
CAGCCGCCGCGGUAAUACAGAGGGUGCGAGCGUUAAUCGGAUUUACUGGGCGUAAAGCGUGCGUAGGCGGCUUUUUAAGUCGGAUGUGAAAUCCCUGAGCUUAACUUAGGAAUUGCAUUCGAUACUGGGAAGCUAGAGUAUGGGAGAGGAUGGUAGAAUUCCAGGUGUAGCGGUGAAAUGCGUAGAGAUCUGGAGGAAUACCGAUGGCGAAGGCAGCCAUCUGGCCUAAUACUGACGCUGAGGCACGAAAGCGUGGGGAGCAAACAGGAUUAGAUACCCCCGUAGUCCCUGUCUCUUAUAC